rnacentral:rRNA from 1 species
AAUCAACGCUGGCGGCGUGCCUAACACAUGCAAGUCGAACGCGAAAGCCCCUUCGGGGGUAAGUAGAGUGGCGUCCGGGUGGGUAACACGUAGGUAAUCUGCCUUCGGGUGGGGAAUAACCAGUCGAAAGAUUGGCUAAUACCGCAUAAUGCAGCGGCACCUAAUGGUGAUUAGUUGUUAAAGCGGGGGAUCGUAAGACCUCGCGCCUGAAGAGGAGCCUGCGGCAGAUUAGCUAGUGGUGAGGUAAUGGCUCACCAAGGCUUCGAUCUGUAGCUGGUCUGAGAGGACGGCCAGCCACACUGGCACUGACACACGGGCCAGACUCCUACGGGGAGGCGA